GCUUGCGCUCAGAUAAAGAGUCUCAUCCGGUAGAGCGAAUGAUUAGAGGCAUUGGGGUCGAAACGACCUCAACCUAUUCUCAAACUCCAAAUAGAUGAGACCCCCGGCUUUCUUAAAAUUGAAGCCGUGGGAAUAGGAUCAAAGUGUGGUAAGCAGAACUGGCGCUGUGG
rnacentral:rRNA from 1 species